AUGGAGGCUGUCUACUUCGCCAAUCUUUGCGAUCAAAUUCGGAUUUGGCACCUGAGUGAAACAAAUGGUGAGGUAGAAUGGGUGUUGAAGAAUAGCAUUGGCCUUGUUGAACCAUCGGCAAAUAUAUAUUCACUCAACCCUUAUCAAAUCUGCGGACCUUGGAUAUUUGAUGACGAUCAUGUUCUCGACAAAUAUGGCAUUAACAAAAGGCUGGAGAAUGUGGUUUCUGAUUGGGACUGGGAUGAUGAUAAUAUUCUCGAUGAGUGUGGAUGUCAUCCUGGAUACUGUCCUUUACUUGGAUAUCCAUUACUUGGGUUUCACCCCUACAAAGAUAUUGCCUUCUUCCAUGUGGGGUUAAAAGCAUUGGCUUAUCAUUUUGAUAGCUCAAAAGUUCAGUACAUUGGCUAUAUGCGUCCAAGAAUUGAUAUCUCAUGGUCGGUUGAUGAGGCCUUUAUAUACACCCCUUGUAUGAUCGGAGAUCUUCCAGAGAAGACUAAAAGUUAG
rnacentral:rRNA from 1 species